rnacentral:lncRNA from 1 species
AAAUUAGAGUUUAUUUUAAGGGAAAUAUGAGAUAACAAACUAACAUUAGUAUUUUUAUUUUAAAAAUAAAGAUAAAAAUAUACAUAUAGAUGUGUGUGUGCAUAUAUAGAUAUUUUUCUUUUUUUUUGUUCAAAACUUGAUUUUUUUUCUUCUCAACUACAUCUGACUUUAUUAACUUUAUAAUGAUGUUAGUAAGUACACAAAACAAAAUAAAAAAUAAAGAUUUUUAAAAAAUAAAAAUUAAAAAAUAGAAAAUAUAACAAAAAGCCCG